rnacentral:rRNA from 1 species
GACGAACGCUGGCGGCGCGCCUAACACAUGCAAGUCGAACGAGCGAAAGAGAGCUUGCUUUCUUGAGCGAGUGGCGAACGGGUGAGUAACGCGUGAGGAACCUGCCUCAAAGAGGGGGACAACAGUUGGAAACGACUGCUAAUACCGCAUAAGCCCACGAUCCGGCAUCGGGUUGAGGGAAAAGGAGUAAUCCGCUUUGAGAUGGCCUCGCGUCCGAUUAGCUAGUUGGUGAGGUAACGGCCCACCAAGGCGACGAUCGGUAGCCGGACUGAGAGGUUGAACGGCCACAUUGGGACUGAGACACGGCCCAGACUCCUACGGGAGGCAGCAGUGGGGAAUAUUGCACAAUGGGGGAAACCCUGAUGCAGCGACGCCGCGUGGAGGAAGAAGGUCUUCGGAUUGUAAACUCCUGUUGUUGAGGAAGAUAAUGACGGUACUCAACAAGGAAGUGACGGCUAACUACGUGCCAGCAGCCGCGGUAAAACGUAGGUCACAAGCGUUGUCCGGAAUUACUGGGUGUAAAGGGAGCGCAGGCGGGAAGACAAGUUGGAAGUGAAAUCUAUGGGCUCAACCCAUAAACUGCUUUCAAAACUGUUUUUCUUGAGUAGUGCAGAGGUAGGCGGAAUUCCCGGUGUAGCGGUGGAAUGCGUAGAUAUCGGGAGGAACACCAGUGGCGAAGGCGGCCUACUGGGCACCAACUGACGCUGAGGCUCGAAAGUGUGGGUAGCAAACAGG